rnacentral:rRNA from 1 species
UGAGGAAUAUUGCGCAAUGGGGGCAACCCUGACGCAGCAACGCCGCGUGAGUGAGGAAGGUUUUCGGACCGUAAAGCUCUGUCGAGCGGGAAGAAAUGCAUGGUGGCUAAUAUCCAUCAUGCUUGACGGUACCGCUAAAGGAAGCACCGGCUAACUCCGUGCCAGCAGCCGCGGUAAUACGGGGGGUGCGAGCGUUGUUCGGAAUUAUUGGGCGUAAAGAGCGUGUAGGCGGCCGAAUAAGUCAGAUGUGAAAUCCCUGGGCUUAACCAAGGAAGUGCAGUUGAAACUAGUCGGAUGGAGUAGGGGAGAGGAAAGUGGAAUUCCUGGUGUAGGGGUGAAAUUCGGAGAUAUCAGGGGGAACACCGGUGGCGAAGGCGACUUUCUGGGGCUAUACUGGCGCUGAGGCGCGAGAGCGUGGGUAGCAAA